GACGAACGCUGGCGGCGUGCCUAAUACAUGCAAGUAGAACGCUGAAGAGAGGAGCUUGCUCUUCUUGGAUGAGUUGUGAACGGGUGAGUAACGCGUAGGUAACCUGCCUUGUAGCGGGGGAUAACUAUUGGAAACGAUAGCUAAUACCGCAUAACAAUGGAUGACACAUGUCAUUUAUUUGAAAGGGGCAAUUGCUCCACUACAAGAUGGACCUGCGUUGUAUUAGCUAGUAGGUGAGGUAAUGGCUCACCUAGGCGACGAUACAUAGCCGACCUGAGAGGGUGAUCGGCCACACUGGGACUGAGACACGGCCCAGACUCCUACGGGAGGCAGCAGUAGGGAAUCUUCGGCAAUGGGGGCAACCCUGACCGAGCAACGCCGCGUGAGUGAAGAAGGUUUUCGGAUCGUAAAGCUCGGUUGUAAGUCAAGAACGGGUGUGAGAGUGGAAAGUUCACACUGUGACGGUAGCUGACCAGAAAGGGACGGCUAACUACGUG
rnacentral:rRNA from 1 species